rnacentral:piRNA from 1 species
UGGAGUUGUGACAAGCUGGUGUG